rfam:Triticum aestivum genome assembly, contig: Triticum_aestivum_CS42_TGACv1_scaffold_310124_4AS
AUUCUACUCCCUCCAUUGCACAAUACAUGCCUUCUAUUUGUCAAAAUAUAUAUGUAUCUAGACAUGUCUUAGUAUAUAGGUACAUCCAUUUUUGGACAAAUGGAAGUCAAGUAUUUUGGAAUGGAGGGAGUACACA